rnacentral:lncRNA from 1 species
GUGGGUGGCCAAAUGACGCAGCAGGACACGUGGACCAGACUUUUCUCAUAGGCAUCUUUCCAACCUUUCACCCUCCUCAGUUUGGGGACUGGAGCGACAUUUGAAGCAGGCUCUCUAGAAAGGAAGAUGGCAAGAUCCGAGAAGCAGAGGCUCUUUGAGCCCUCUGACAGAUUAGCCAUCCUGCCCCUGAUACUUAGACUAGUCUAUGGACCCUGGGAAGGCAGGGGGAUGCCUCACCCACAUCUGCCCUCAUGAGGGCGCUCACGGGGAACAGCUCAGAUCUGCCUGGCGAUGGAAGCAAAAGCAUUCAUCACAAAGUUAACCAGUCACUCAGCUAUCUGCUUUCCUCCUGCUUAGUAUCUCUGGGACUAUGACCAGGCUUUAAAGGUAACUUUUCCAUCCAUCCAGCAAGUGAAGCGCUAGGAAGCCUCUGCCUCUGGGAGAGGGUUCGUGAGCUCUGGUGGAAAGUACUAAUGCUCCCUGCAAGGCCCAUCAGAGGGUUGACCUUCUGAAACUGGCAAACAGCCAUUGAUGAUUAAGGAUCUAAGCACUAAAGUUUUUUCCUUUUUGCAAUGACUGAUGAUAGCUUUUAGCUGUUUAACCCACCCAUUGUUAACUGUGCUGUUUAGGCAAUAUGCUACCUGACUCCCACUAGGCUCUUAUGGAUAACAUCUUCCUGGAGCCUGGGUCACCAAGGUAAUGGGUGCUUGAGCUGUUUUUCAGGAAUUAGAACUCCUUGUCCACUCCAGGCCAAUUGGGACCACCAACUCAUCAACUGGGUACACACAGGUGUCCAAUAGGCGACCUUUUGACAUCAAGAGGCUAAAAACUUCACCCUCAGAUCAUGCUAAUGCCGCCAUUUUGUGAACGUGGGUCCUGUGAAGAGGCAUGGAGUCUGACUACGCUUGCGCAGAUCAUCAAUUACCUCACCUCCAAUCACCUCUCCUCACAUUUCAGACCACCUUGCCCCCUACCCCAUAAAUAUCCCUGAGUCCCUAUUUUCGGGGAAGCGAAUUUGAGACUCAUGCUCUUGCUUCCUCGCAUGGCUGCCUUGUAAGUAAACUCUCUCUCUGCUGCAAUCUGGCUGUCUCAGUGUUUGGCUUUCUGGGCAGCAGGCAAAAACAAACCUGGUUUGGUAACACUUCUUGUUCAUUUUCUUCUGCUUUCCAUGGGACUUGCCCCAAGCCCCAUACCCACUGCAAUGACCUUGCUGAAAAGAGCUCAGGCACCGUGGAAAGUCUGGGGUGAAUUGGAUCCUUUAAGAGCUCCUACACCAAAGUCCUUGAAAUGUUGACAUUCUUUACACCUGAACCCACUAAAUUCCCCACCAGGGAAGCACAACAAAGUAUUGACUCGUGAGCCUCUAGGUUGCUAACCCCAUGGAAGUCCUGAAUUGAAAACAUUAGUAGAUUUACCUUAAUAAAAUGGCACAUGCAUUUCUUUCUGUGACUUUUCUCCUGAGCAAAUGCAAGUAGGCCCAGAGUACAUUUCUCUUUGCGCUUGAACCCAUGCCUCUGGGUGAAAUACUUACUGGCUAACAUUUGUGGACUGCUUACACUGUGCCCAGCACUGUGUAGUUGUUUAAAUCUCUGUGUCUAGUGCUUGGGUCUUAAAGCUUCAAGCUUCUAUCCUCUCCCUGCAGACUUGGUCUUGAUGGAACUUUAGAUUCGGGAGGAGCCCUGCGAGAUCAUCCUGUCUGGUUUCACAGAAAGGAAAUCAAGGUCCUGGGAGCCACAAAGUCACACUGCUUCAUACUGAGAGAAGCCAAGCGUCUCAGGCUUUUCUAAGUGACAGCACUUGUCGUCAUAUGGCCAAAAAGGUAAGCCUGAGCCUGAGGCUACUGUCUUGAGAAAGUUAGUCUCCAAGAGGAGGCUGGAAAUUAAAUGGGGCAACCUGGAGACACUGGCUCCCUGAGGAAAGAAAGAGUCAGAAAGAGGGAGAAAGGCGUAAAAGAAAAAGGGGAAAGUCAGUAAAAUCACUCCACGAGCCCUGGCAGGCCAGUCAGGAUCAGCUCUCAUCAAAAGGAAACAAACAACAAAUGCAGCCGCUCCAAAUAAAGCAUCCAGCCCGCAUCCCGCCAUCAAACCACACCCUCAUCCCAGCAAACAGAGGAAACGUCCACUUUGGAAAUUAAUUCUUCUCCACAGACUUCACAUAACAAAUUCCUCUCCUGGGCAAUCAUGCAAGAUCUUGCAAGGAACUUUUUUUAAUUAUAAGGAAAGGGUGACUCCCCUAUCAAUAAAAUCCUGCGUCAAUUAGUACAAUUAUCAUUUGGGUUAUUAUUUCAAGUGUUCGAAAUUUCUACUUAAAUAAGGUCACUUCCAAUUUGGUAAACACUCCUAAGUCAUCAUCUUAAUUCACGGCCAGUCGCCCUAGGAAUGCUGAGUAAGUAAACAAAAUCAAGCAUUAGCUAACCAGCCACAAAUCCACUUG